GGUGAGGGGAGAUACUGUUCAGUAACAUAUGGAUUAGGAGUGGGAAUUAUUUGCUCCUCCAGGUGCUGAACUCCCAGCAAACCUAACACAAUAGGACCCACAAUGUACUUGCAGGUGUAGUACACACUUGGAAGACUUUUUGAUUUUCCAACUCGAUUGAGGGGAACACAAGAUCAGAUGUGGUUAUAACAUCACAUGUACUGCUGUUAUCAAGAGGCAUGCAACACCCACACUCACUUUUUCCAUAUCUUUUUCUUCAAUGUAUGAAGGAGGCAAGAUCACAAAUGUAUAAAAUGCAUUUGUAGAAUGGUUACCAUAUUUACAUGGGUCCAAUGCUCAUCUUUUUUGGCUAAAUUACAUCACCAAAAUUGGGGUGUGCGUUAGAUUUGAUGGCACGGGGUGUGCAUUAGAUUUGAUCACACCUGUAAGCCCACCUGUAUGAAAAGGUUUUCAAAACUGAGGUGUACAUAACAUUUGAUAGUGCAUUAUACUUGAUAAAAUAACUAAAAUACUUACCUUUUAGCUGCUCUUUUAAAGAAAGAAACGGUACUCUACAAAGCAUUUUUGGUCUGUAUUACAAAACAUCCUCUCCUCUCAUCUCCCUCAUUGUCGCCUUGAUACCCACAACAAAAUACAAGGCAGAGUACAAGUCAACACUUCAGUCUUUUGAUCUUCUUCCAACAUCAUUUAAUGAGAUCACACCCCUGCAACUAUAAAAGUAAUUUUGUUAGUGUUAUAUUACAAGAGUGAUGUUAUCCCCAUUGUGAUGUGAUGUAGUUGUAUUAUUGUAACAAAACAAGAAAAGCCAACAGCCACCCAUACUUAUGUAUUUGUAGCUAGUUGCUUCCAAAUCUUCGAGUUAGCAUCUUGCACUAUGACAUCCAAGCUGAAAUUUUGGCUGAGUCAUUAAAUUGUCAGUAGUAACCAUCUCCCAGCCUUACCUACUUCACAGAGAAGUUAUUUGUUGUUGUUGUUGUUGUUGUUGUUGUUGUUGUUGCUUAUUGAUUUAUUUUUGUAUAGUACUGUUCUCUGACCACAAAGUAUUUCAAAAUUGCUUACAAAUUGUUAAUUUGGCAGUUCAAGACUCAAUAUUUUUUGUCAUUGUUGUGAUCUUUGUUAAGCUCUUCCAUUUUUCCAGAGGUUAAGUAAAUAUCUUUAAUAUGCUGGAGUGCAUUUUUGCUCUUUUAUCAAUGUACAAUUGUACCUUGAAAGUUCUGUUGUUAAUGGAAGAGAGAAGUCCAUUAGCUUAAAUGGUGCAAUGGACAUUCUAGGAUAGAUCCAAAGAACACCUGUGUUGUUCUUGGUAUGCCUGUGCAAGUUCUUCUGUAAAUCACAUAUAUCUCAUCCAAUUCCUCAGGUUGUGAAUUUUCCAUUGGUGUACCCUUCCUUUGGGACAUUAUACGGAGCCAUUCGCUGUCAGUACAAAAUGUUAAGCAGUGUCGACAUGGAAAUGGGACUGCAUUACUUGUUUUCAUUUUCCUUUUCUUUCUGAUAUCCCUUCCUGGAACCUACAUUUGUGUCACUCGUGAAGGCAGGUGAACCUCCCAUGUAGGCAAAUAGAAACCUUUUUCAAGAUAGCUGCAGAAUCCUUUCCAAGUGUAAACAGAACUGUAGUGAAGAGUUGCCAAAUUGUUCUUUGUCACAGGGCAGGGGUGGAAAACCUGUGGCUCUUAGACCUACUUCCCAUCAUGCUUGGACAUGCUGGUAGUGAUAUUGGAGACCGUAGUCAAGCAUCAUGAGAAGGGCAGCAGGUUACUUAUCUCUAGCGAAAGGGGUUGGGCAUACUAAUAGGAUGUAUUGACUGUAAUAAAAAGAAACAUUUGGAACUUUGCAUUUAAAGGAUGCCCUGGCUGAAAUGAUCAGCUUGCCACUCAAACAAAGUGUUUCCCUGCUUAGAUGAAAAUGCACAGGUACACAAGUAAAGAUGGAGUGUUUAGUACUUGGAAAAUAGGAAAGACAUGCAUCUUUUUUGCUGUAAAGGACUCUGUUGGGUUAUGAAGUAAUUCAUGGCAGCAAAAUAAUACUCAACAUAUUAUUUAGUUUACCAGUUCUCAGUCACUCACCAGAAAUCUCAAAAUGUAAUGGUUUUUUUCCCCUGCCUCAUACCUUUGUGUAACCUGUGUGCACCUGAUACGGAGUGAAAAUCUAUGCAUACUCAUCUUUCUUGUCUACUUUUAUUGUGAAGAUUUUAUCACUCUGGUCUUGCAGUGCUUGAUUUCUAAUAAUGCCAUAAGACAAAUAGUUUUCUGCAAAAAUAUUUCUAUUGAACAUUUCCUGGGAGAGACAUG
rnacentral:lncRNA from 1 species